ensembl:rRNA 5S_rRNA 5S ribosomal RNA
GCCAGCAGCCAUAUCACCCUGCAACUCACAACUGGCAACCCACUGAAGCUAAGCAGGUGUGAGCCUGGUCAGUACCUGGAUGAGAGACCUCCUGGGAAAGGUUGCUGUUGGAA